ensembl:lncRNA
UCACACACACACACACACACACACACAGAUGCAAUCCACUCUCACCUGACUUCAAUUCUGGACAGCACACCCACAGUGACCAGAUCAAAUUCAUGGAUGUACUUUUUACAGAGUCCAUUAUCUGUGCCCUGGCUUUUGUGGAAAAUCUGUCCAUCCUAAAGGCUGAGUAGAAAUUUCUGCGAGGACCUGUCAUUUACAUAAGGUCAUACUGUAAUACUACUUGAGCGGGAGCAUUUUGACAGGAGGACUGAACAACAAUUAAUAGAGAGUCAUCAACGGGA